rnacentral:rRNA from 1 species
UGCCAGCCGCCGCGGUAAUACGAAUGGUGCGAGCGUUGUUCGGAAUCACUGGGCAUAAAGGGCGCGUAGGCGGCGAUGUAAGUCAAUUGUGAAAUCCCUCGGCUCAACCGAGGAACUGCAGUUGAUACUGCAUUGCUAGAGUAUUGGAGGGGAGAGCGGAAUUCCUGGUGGAGCGGUGAAAUGCGUGGAUAUCAGGAGGAACGCCGGAGGCGAAAGCGGCUCUCUGGCCAAUUACUGACGCUGAGGCGCGAAAGCUAGGGUAGCAAACAGGAUUAGAUA